rnacentral:rRNA from 1 species
AUAUUGGACAAUGGGCGAAAGCCUGAUCCAGCAAUACCGCGUGAGUGAUGAAGGCCUUAGGGUUGUAAAACUCUUUCAGUAGGGAAGAUAAUGACGGUACCUACAGAAGAAGCACCGGCUAACUCCGUGCCAGCAGCCGCGGUAAUACGGAGGGUGCUAGCGUUGUUCGGAAUUACUGGGCGUAAAGAGUGCGUAGGCGGUCUGACAAGUUGGAAGUGAAAUCCCGGGGCUCAACCUCGGAAUUGCUUUCAAAACUGUUGGACUAGAGUAUGGUAGGGGAUAGUGGAAUUCUUAGUGUAGGGGUGAAAUCCGUAGAUAUUAAGAGGAACACCAGAGGCGAAGGCGACUAUCUGGGCCAUUACUGACGCUAAGGUACGAAAGCGUGGGGAGCAAACAGG